AGAGUUUGAUCCUGGCUCAGAUUGAACGCUGGCGGCAUGCCUUACACAUGCAAGUCGAACGGCAGCACGGGAGCAAUCCUGGUGGCGAGUGGCUAACGGGUGAGUAAUAUAUCGGAACGUGCCCAGUCGUGGGGGAUAACGUAGCGAAAGCUACGCUAAUACCGCAUACGAUCUAUGGAUGAAAGCGGGGGAUCGCAAGACCUCGCGCGAUUGGAGCGGCCGAUAUCAGAUUAGCUAGUUGGUGGGGUAAAGGCCCACCAAGGCGACGAUCUGUAGCUGGUCUGAGAGGACGACCAGCCACACUGGAACUGAGACACGGUCCAGACUCCUACGGGAGGCAGCAGUGGGGAAUUUUGGACAAUGGGCGCAAG
rnacentral:rRNA from 1 species